rnacentral:rRNA from 1 species
UGGGGGAUAUUGCACAAUGGGGGGAACCCUGAUGCAGCGACACCGCGUGGGUGAAGAAGCGCCUCGGCGCGUAAAGCCCUGUCAGCAGGGAAGAAAAUGACGGUACCUGAAGAAGAAGCCCCGGCUAACUACGUGCC